GACGAACGCUGGCGGCGUGCUUAACACAUGCCAGUCGAACGGAAAGGCCCUGCUUUUGUGGGGUGCUCGAGUGGCGAACGGGUGAGUAACACGUGAGUAACCUGCCCUUGACUUUGGGAUAACUUCAGGAAACUGGGGCUAAUACCGGAUAGGAGCUCCUGCUGCAUGGUGGGGGUUGGAAAGUUUCGGCGGUUGGGGAUGGACUCGCGGCUUAUCAGCUUGUUGGUGGGGUAGUGGCUUACCAAGGCUUUGACGGGUAGCCGGCCUGAGAGGGUGACCGGCCACAUGGGGACUGAGAUACGGCCCAGACUCCUACGGGAGGCAGCAGUGGGGAAUAUUGCACAAUGGGCGGAAGCCUGAUGCAGCAACGCCGCGUGCGGGAUGACGGCCUUCGGGUUGUAAACCGCUUUCGCCUGUGACGAAGCGUGAGUGACGGUAAUGAGUAAAGAAGCACCGGCUAACUACGUG
rnacentral:rRNA from 1 species